rnacentral:rRNA from 1 species
AGCGAACGCUGGCGGCAGGCCUAACACAUGCAAGUCGAACGAACCUUUCGGGGUUAGUGGCGGACGGGGGGGUAACACGUGGGAACGUGCCUUUAGGUUCGGAAUAACUCAGGGAAACUUGUCCUAAUACCGCAGGUGCCCUUCGGGGGAAAGAUUAAUCGCCGUUAGAGCGGCCCGCGUCUGAUUAGCUAGUUGGUUGAGGUAAUGGCUCACCAAGGCGACGAUCAGUAGGUGGUCUGAGAGGAUGAUCAGCCACAUUGGCACUGAGACACGGCGCAAACUCCUACGGGAAGCAGCAGUGGGGAAUGUUGCGCAAUCGGCGGAAGGAUGCAGCAGCCAUGCCGCGUGAAUGACGGAGGUCUGAUGAUUGUAAGAUUCUUUCACCGGCGAAGAUUAUGACGGUACCAGGAGAAGAAAACCCGGCUAACUUCAUG